GGAAUAAAAGCACCAGAAAAGAAGGUGAAACAUUCAGAUAAUUUAGUUGUUUCCUCUCUUCAUUCCAGGGCCUCUAUGUCAAUACAACAAUUAUGCCUCAAUCAUAAGCUAGUAGAGUCGGAUGUAUGAAAUUUGUUCGGACCUCUUUCGACAUCUACAUGCUUACAAAAUUUCAAGUAUUUUACAGCUAUUGCUGAUAUAGAUGUAUUGAUGUUAUCAA
rnacentral:misc_RNA from 1 species